rnacentral:lncRNA from 1 species
AAUCCAACUGAUAUCUGGAAGCUGUUGAAAGGAACCUGCUCUUCCCCUUCCUUUCAUAGUAAUCUUCUCAUCACAAAGCAUAAAGCUAACCCCCUACUUACCCCCAGGACUUGCAUGAUGACCUAAAUAGUGCAGAUGGCAAGAAAAGAGUAGUAUACAGUCUAUGCUGUAAAGUGGUUGGCAUUAGGAUGGGCGUUGGUUCAUAAAACCAUGCCAAAACAGACAUUGGAGUUCAAUGCAGUUCUUGGAUGCAUUGGUUCCUAUUGAAUUGUCAAACCCAUGCCAGCAUAGAACAUGGACGUAAAAUGAUGAUGAUGAUGAUGGCAAUGACAAGAACGAUGAUGCUGACAAUGAUGACGAGGAUCUAGAAGAUAAAAAUAAUCCCUGAAACAGGUCUUCAAACUUUGCAAAUGGUAAAUAAAAAUGUUUCUUAUUUCUUCAGGGAAAUCAUCAACAUCAGAAGUUUCAAGAAAGCCCCAGAGCAUUAAAGAAAGAAAAAACCGAAUUUAAACACACAGUUCUGCAGAUGUUUAUUCCAUAAGUUUAAUCCCAUAAUCAUGGCUUCCUCUUUAUCUUUGAUGUUUAAAACAUUAUGGAUUUCCUUUAUAGAUUCAAAUUCAGGUCGUUCAAAUACAUAAAAAUAUCACACACGUAUGCCCCUGGUUCUAAGUAUUGGUGAAGAUUAGCAAAACUGGAAAUCUUUACAAAUCAUACCAUUAAAUUCAUACCAUAUAAAUGCAAGAAAAUAAGCAACAAGCUAGAAGAAUCAUUAGAAUUCUAGGCAACAUACUUAGCAGCAAUUUUUACCGAAUUUAUGUUCUGAGCUAAAUUGAUGCUGAGGUUUUCUUUACCUUUCAUCUUUUUGGGGUCGAUAAAAUAAGUAAUUGAUGUAAAUAUCUGGCCCCUCUCCACAAAAUUUCAAGCCUUCUAGCAAUGAUAGAAAGAAUAUUAAUGCUAGCAAAUCAGGCCUGUUUGAAAUAUUUGCACUUUCAUUUAAGCGUAUGGUAUAGUAUUUACUUUGCAGAACUCUUUUCACUUACUGGUUGGUUUUUGAUAUCGUCAUGACGUCUGUUUUCUGCUUCGUAGAAUUGUUUGGUUAUGGAGUCAAAUCAUAAUUCCUUGCUACCUUGUUUCUAUGCAUUAUGAAACAGACAAGAUGACUGCUACUCAAGGAUGCUACGAAUAGCCCGAAAUGUGAAACGGCAGCAACAUAUUAACAAACGAAUGUCUUUAUGGAGACCUGCCAAAAGUUAGUAAGAAGAUCGGGCAAAGACAGCCGCAAUUAUCCGGUCACUGCAUAUGGCACCACUGAAUUGGAAGCAUCCAAAAUAGUCCCAUGGAACUCACUUCCUGGCGAUGUAAGAAGAGGAAAAGGUAUUCGUGUUUACAUUAACAACUUGAUCACAUUCACCGGCCUGCAAUGAAUCCAGGACCUCAAGGCAGUGAUGUUGGACCAAGAAGUGUGGGCAGUGGACAUUGUUGCUGCAGUCUGGGCUGGGACCUAACCAUAAAAAAAAAAGAUAAGGCAAAAGGUUUGUAAGUUGGCAGAAUUAGUUCUUCUAAUAAGGUGGCGAGCUGGCAAAAAUGUUAGCGUGUCGGGCAAAAUGCUUAUCGGUAUUUUGUCUGCUGCCAUUACGUUCUGAGUUCAAAUUCUGCUGAGGUUGACUUUGCCUUACAUCCUUUCGGGGGUCGAUAAAUUAAGUACCAGUUAUUUCCCUGGGGUCGAUGUAAUCGACUUAAUCCCUUUGUCUGUCCUUGUUUGUCCCCUCUAUGUUUAGCCCCUUGUGGGCAAUAAAGAAAUAAGAAUUAGUUCUUCUACUGCUGUGUUUGGUUUUCCACAUUCUGAAAUUGCAGGAGACACAUCAUACAAUGCCAGCACAGCAGUUUUAUUAUGACGGCCAGUUGCCAUUUUUUGCUAUUGCCUUUUAUCAUGAAAGUAGUUCUUGGCAUCUCCUUUGGAAAUAUUCAUCAUUUUACUUGUUGCAGUCAUUGGACUGUGGCCAUGCUGGGGCACCACCUUGAAGAGUUUAAUUGAAGAAAUCAACCCCAGUACUUAACUUUUAAGUUUGGUACUUAUUCUGUUGGUCUUUUUUGUCAAACUGCUAAGUUACAAGGACAGGAGCAAACCAAUAUCAGCAGUCAAGCAAGAACAAACACAUGAACACACACACACACAGAAACACACACAAACACGCACAUGCACACACACACACAAAUGCACGCAUGCACACACACAUACACACAAACACACACAUACACACACACAAACACACAUACACACAUAUAACAGACUUCCACAGUUUCUAUCUUCCGUUGCCAGCCUCGCCUGGCCUCCGUGCCGGUGGGACAUAAAAAGCACCAUCCGAUCGUGGCCGUUUGCCAGCCUCGCUUGGCACCUGUGCCGGUGGCAUGUAAAAAGCACCCACUACACUCACGGAGUGGUUGGCGUUAGGAAGGGCAUCCAGCUGUAGAAACAUUGCCAGAUCAGACUGGGCCUGGUGCAGCCUCCUGGCUUCCCAGACCCCGAUCGAACCGUCCAACCCAUGCUAGCAUGGAAAGCGGACACUAAACGAUGAUGAAAUUCACUCACAAGGCAUUGGUUGGCCCAGAGUUAGAGUAGAAUCCACUAAACUAAGGUGCUGUACCAUGGGACUGAACUGACAACCAUGUGGUUGUAAAGCAGGCUUCUUAACCAUAGAACCAAGCCUGUGCCUACGUUUAUGUGUAACAUCUUGUUUCUAAAUGUCAGCAAAGUCUGGUUGACUUCAUACUUUCUUUGCACUACAUUUUACAACAGAGAACACACUGUCACUACUUUUCACCUUCAUGGUCGAUGUAUAUACAUCCAAAGGAUACAAACACAUCAUCAUAUUCAUGAAGUCUUGAAUCAUGAAUCAGUAAUGUUUUCUUUUUCCAUUUAAACAUGUUAAAUCUUUACUUGUAUUUCCCAUAUUCUUUUCUUUUAAUGUAUUUCCAGUUUUUAACCAUCAAUUCAUAAUUACCAGGGGAUUACAUAGUCAGAUAUAUAAAGAAUGAUUUUUUUUCAUUGAUGUGGUUAAUAGUAUCAUGUGGUUUGCUUGGUCGCUCGUGUUGAGCUCGUUAAUAAUGAUAUAUUUUAAAGAGCUGAGUCACCUUCGUUGUCGUGUAUCUGUGGAAUGCCAUUGGCUGUGUGAAUGAUAACUCAAACAAACUCAAACAAACCUUUAACUAAUAUUUAUUACUGAACAUGAUAUUAUGUGUUUGGCUAUUUACAAUGAUAUUAAUAAUACAGUUGCCUACAAGGAGGAGAGAAAAACCAUGACAUGUCUGUAAAAGUUAUUCAAGGGACAUUGUAUGAAUGUUCAGAAUCGGUCUGUCCGAGCACCUAAAAUUGUUUGGACAAAUGUCCCAAGUUGCCUCCUCGUAAGCUGAAAGUCAUCUGCCUGCUAAGUUAGCUGCCAAAACAGUUUUUAUGGAAUGAAAAGAAGUUAAAUUCUACAACAUCCAAGAAGCUAUAUCACACCACAAUUUCGUGCUGACAGUCAAUUUAUGUAUGUAUGUAUGUAUGUAUGACUUGCAUAAGAUCUGGUCAUCAAAUCUAAGUAGAGACUUCAAACUUGAAAUCUUCAAAGCCACAGUCGAACCAAUUCUACUAUAUGGCACAGAAACCUGGACGUUAUCAAAGAAGCUUGAGAGGCGGUUGGAGGGAACCUACACUCGCCUCCUUAUGAGAGCUCAAAAUCUCUCGUGGAAGCGCCAUCCAACCAAAAUGCAAAUAUAUGGGAAGCUACCACCUGUGUCAUCUCUUGUGAAAGGUAAGAGAGUCCAGUUUGCUGGACAUUGUUGUAGAGCUGAAAAAGAGGUAAUUUCUACUCUUCUCCUCUGGAGGCCAUCUACUCGCAAUACCAGAGGGCGCACACUCUCCUACCCUGAUGUAAUCUCCAAGGAUACAGGCAUCCAGCAACAGGACCUCCAUAAUGCCAUGAUGGACUGUGAAGUCUGGCAUAGCAUGGUAAAUUCCAUUGUCUCGACCACGGUCGAACAAUGAUGAUGAUGAUGAUGUAUGUAUGUAUAUCUGCAGACUUGUAUGUUUUACCUUGUGUAUAUAAUCUAAUGCAUAUAGUUGCAUGUCUAGACAAGCUCAUAUAUAUUUAGAUGAUAAACUUCUGGAAAGUUUUACAGACUUUUACAGUUCCAGUGAUGGACUGGAUCUGUAGUCUUUGAAUUACAGUAGCUUUCUCCUUUCUGAUUUUGAGAAGCCUAAUUUCUUAAGAUUGGUAUUUAGGCAGUGUGUUACAUAUCUCGGGCUCCCAAGAAUUACAGGUAUAAACCGGAAUUUGUAGUCUGGAUAAAGUAACUUCAGAUUUCUGAAUAGUUCAGUGUAGGUAUUCUCUUUUUCUCUGAUCUUCAGCUUCAUGUUAACAUCCACUGGGAAGCUAAUUUCCACAACUGUGCACACUUUCUCUUUGCUACCCCAAAUCAUUAUAUCAGGUCUAUUGUACUUACAGUUUAUUGUGGUCUUCAUCCAUAACUUGCAAUAAGCAACAUUUAUUAAAUGUUAUUACUGUUAUUUCUUUAUUUUCUGCAAACAAAAUGCACAAAAAAGCUACAUGUUUGCAUUAUGCUAUAUAUACAAUAAUAAUAAAGGAUGUUACCGUAUACAUUUUUACAAACCAAGGACGUUAUAUAGACCCCCUUGACUCAAGUUAGAGAAGGGGUACGUAUUAUACACAAGGUUUAGGUUUUUCAGAGGUACAACCCACUAAAAAUCCCCUGCAUAUUAUACUCAAGGGCGGACUAUACUUGAAGUGUUACGGUACUGCUUAUUUUACCUACUGUAAUGCUCAGCUCAUAUCCUAUAAUCAUGUUUGUUUAGCAGAAGCUGGAUUUUGCCUGUUUAAAUUACCAUCCAUUUGACUAACAAACAUCCAUAGUAACAUACCGACUCCUUAAACUCAAUUAUAUUAUAAAAUCAAGUCACAUGCAAUCGUUGGUAGUAACAAACAAAUGGAUUAUUUUGCAAUGCACAUCAAAAUGCUGUAAAUUUUCAGCGUUUUCAUUGUCAUUACUUCAUUGCUAUGUUUAUGAUGGCUUAGGUAAAAAUAUAUCAUCUAUACUUAAAGAAGAAAUAUUUGGAAAUCUAAUGCUAAAUACAAACGGUCCAUAAUUAUCCUGGCUUUCAAAUCUAGUAACAGACUGCUUGUAUAUACACCAACAUAAAUUCAUAAUGUCUGCCUGUAUAUACACAAGAAUAAAUAGAAUGUUCCAAUGGAUAAAAUGAACUCACCCACUGACAUUUUUCUGGAAACUAUUUUAUUCAUCUUGAACAUUCAAAUCAAGCUCAAAAUUUUAUUUUAUUAUUAUAUAUACACAGUGGAGGCACGUGGUUAGCAUCAUGAUCGUAAGAUUGUGGUUUCGAUUCCUGAACCGGGCAACGCGUUGUGUUCUUGAGCAAAACACUUCAUUUCACAUUGCUCCUGUCCACUCAGCUGCCAAAAAUGAGUAACGCUGCGAUGGACUGGCGUUCUGUCCAGCUGGGGAACACAUACGCCAUAGAAACCGGGAAACCGGACUCAUGAGCCUGACUAGGCUUUAAAAGGGCGCAUUUAUUAUAAUUAUUAUUUUUAUAUAUGCUUAGAAGGACGGUGAACUGGCAGAAUCGUUAGCAUGCCGGGCAAAAUGCUUAGUAGGAUUACAUCUGCCGCUAUGUUCUGAGUUCAAAUUCUGCUGAGGUCAACUUUGCUUUUCAUCCUUUUGGGAUCGAUGAAAUAAGUACCAAUUGAGUAUUGGGGUCGAUAUAAUUGACUACCCCCUCCCCCAAAUUUCAAGACUGGUACUUAUUGUAGAAAGGAUUAUAUAUUUGCAUACAUACAUAAGUGUGAAGGCAUGUGGCUAAGUGGUUAGAGCAUCGGGCUCACAAUAAUGAAAUAAUGAGUUCAAUUCCUGGACCGGGCUGUGUGUUGUGUUCUUGAGUAAGACAUUAUAUUUCACAUUGCUCCAGUUCACUCAGCUGUAAAAAUGUGUUGCAACAUCACUGGUGCCAAGCUGUAUUGGCCUUUGCCCAGACUUGUGCCUUGGAGGGUAAAUUUCUAGGUGCAAUCCCAUGGUUGUUCAUAACCAGAAGGAGUCUUUACCCUUUACAUACAUAAAUACACACACAUAUGCACACACACACACACACACAACAAUGCUCCACAUGUAAUAGUCCAAUGGAUUGAGAUCAGGGGAAUUUGGAGGCCAAAUGUUAGGGGUUAUGUGAUCAUGAAAAUUUUCAACUAUCCAUUCCUGUGUUACUAGAGUCAUCUGUGAUAGUGCAGAGUCUUGCAGAAAUACAUAUGGCCUUCCAUAGCAUACACUGUCUAUCCAGGGCUUAGCAAUUAUUUCCAAGACCUCAAUGUAGGCAGCAGAUUUAACUCUAAGGCCUUGUGGAAAGAAGUAAGGAAACAUCACAUGUCCUUCAUUGCUGACAACCCCUAAAACCAUGAUAGUUGCAGGAAAUUUUGUAAGCCUAACACUUGGAACUUCAGAAGGGUCUGCACAUAACCAUCUGUUAUUUCUUCCGUCAAAUUUUGAUCUUGGUCGAAGUUUUUUUCGUUUGAGAAAAACCAAAUCAAAUCUUUUUUCUGAUGGAUUUUUCAGUUUGUUUAAGAGCCUUUUAGAUCUGAUGUAGUGAUUUUCUUUUGUUUUUUCUGACCAAUUGACCUUUCCUCAUCAUAUAAGACUUAUACCUCAUGUCUUCAUGGACAACAUUUCUGACUGUUCCUUCUGACACUUGGAGAUCUUUUGCAAUUGACCUCAUGGACUUUCUGAGAUUGUAAUCAAUGGUCUGUUGAACUUGCUGGAUAAAUUCAGGUGUUCUCAUGAUUUCAGAGUGUUUAGAAUGCUUUUUAUGCUUUGAUACUGGGGGUUUAUUUCCAGCUUCCAUCUUCUGGCAAUUUUUAAAAAUCGAGAUAUUUCCAAAUCACUAUGCUCAGCCUUUAUAACCACAAUAAUAGCAUGCCUCUUCAUUUCUUGAGUUAGCUGAGGGUCUGACAUUAUUAUAUUCUGACACAAAGAUUAUACAGAGUUAGUAAAAAAAUGCAGCAAUGGCCCAAAAAAAAGGUGUUCUCAAAUACCUUAUACACCUUGUACAAAGCAGAAAUGGGAAACAGAAUGGCAAGAAUUGGCAAGGUUUUUAAUUGAGUUACAUAAUAAAAGGUUUAAAUAGUCUCUUUAUUAUUUAGCUAAAUUAAAUGCCCUUUCAAGUCUUACCAAACUAUUUGCCUUUUCGUUUCUGUUUUAGUCUAUACCCACCGACUCAUGGAGAGGCCACUUAUAGUCGCUUUAGAAAGGACAGUCACAAAAUCACAUCUUUGAUUGCAGCUCAAACUGUAAUUCCAGUGGCAUACCAAUUUGAGCACUCAGUGCUCAUACCUAUUAGUUUGGGUCACCCUGAUCAAAAUUCCUCAUACUUUUUACAUACAUAUAUAUGUAUGUACAUACAUACACGCAUACAUUGCAUCUCAAAGAGACAAGUUGCGUAUUUGGUGUGGGAGACUACUUAUUGAAAAUAUGACGAAUACUAUCUCCAACUUUGAAGCCACAACUAUCAGACUUUUAAAUAACUGGCUAAUCUUCAGAUGAAUUAACUUAAGGAGCCUUUUAUACAAGAUCAUAGCGAUUUUCAACUGAGACUUGAAUUUACUAUGCAGAGAGUUACUACAUACAACAUGGUGGACACACCAUCAACAACACUGGCAAAGAACAGAAUGAAAACAACAGCUCAACAGGCAAAGAGAUUCUUUCCAGCUGUAGUUAUAGAAGUAACCAUAACUACAAAAUUCAUUUCUCUUUGAGUUAUGAAUUGAAUACUGAUUUAUUUCACUGUUAUAAAAGAGAAAAACAAAACCCCGCUGUUGGAUAUAUGAAUGAAUUGCGUAUGAGAAUGUCUCGACAUGCAACUAUAUGCAUGAGAAUAACAUAUAUAAUACAAAACUCGUAAAUCUGCACAUAUACAUACAUGCAAAAAUACCCUGUUCCUGUUGUUGAAAUUCCAAUGAAGGAGCUUUGGAUCUAAGUUUUAGAAGGUGUCUCUUUCUCUUGAAAUAAAACUGAAUAAUGACAUACAUACAUACAUGGUGGCUGCCCCCUCGUUAUUGAGUAUGGCCAUUGCACGAAGCUUAAUCAAUGUUGUUAUCAUGCAAUGCCUGUGCAAGAAGAUUUUUUUUAAAGUGAGGAAAAGCUGUGCACUGAGUCAAUCCCACUCACUAAGCAACAGCAGCCAUAAUCCGAAAAGAAGAACAAGUCAACAUCAUCGGUAACCACUGAGCCGCAGGUUUUAUGUCAGAGUUAUCCCAGUUUCCUGAGUUACCUUCUCCUAGAAGGAUGCCCUAACAAAGGCUAGGAGUCCUUCACUCCCAAUGGUUUAACCGCACGAUCGGGUAUUCAGUCCGAUUAUUUCUAUGUCCCCACGCAUGAUACAGCCUUAAAAUAUUUAUUGGAUGGCUGUUGACAUACAUGCAUACAUGGUGGAAGUCAACUGAUAAUUAAGUAAGAUCACUUCUUAAAAUCAAGAAUCUAAAAAGUUCCUGUAUGUGAAUUUGUUUUGAGUGGGUAAAGGGUUGCACAUGACAGAACUCACUUUCAGUACAAACGGCUUUAACACCAGUGAUAAAAACGUAAAUUGAGAUAUUCCAGAAACCAGCUGCACUUCAGGUUUUUGGAGGUUUUUUUAUAUACAAGUUUACUUUCUUCUAGAAGGGAGUUCAGAUGACAACUAAGGAUCCUUCACCCCUGGUUAUCAAUAUACUAGUUAACCUAAGGUAGAGAGCUAGGAGAACCAUUACCCCACUGGACAAAAUGUUGAGAGUAUUUUCAAGUUAAAGGAAAGUUUGAGAUGUAUUGUGCAACAAAAUGGUUCAUAUUUGGUUGAUUAAAAAUGAAAUGGCAAGUAUUUAUUGACCUUUUUCUUUCCUUUAAAAAUCGGCAGAAGCUUUCCAGACAAUCCAAUAUUUUGAUUCUGCAUGAUGCAAAGUCAUUAGCAGAUGAAAGUUUUCUUAAAGUAUAAAUCAUGUGUAAGAAAGAAAUUAGGAUAUGGCUAGCCAUGGAAUGUUUCAUGGAAAAGCUUAAUAAAAUCUGGUGCAGUAAAAGUGUCCAAACUAAGUUUUAAAUAAUUGGGGUGUGAGUGCUCAUUCGGCCAAUAGGCAUUUAUGGUUGCAAAGCAUGGACUUUGAAUAAAUUUGAAGGGAACACAAUCAAUGUGUUUGAAAUGUGGGUGUAUAGGAGAAUGUUAUGAAUCUUUUACAAGGAUUAUUAUAUAAAUGAAUGGAUGUUACAUGUAAGGGAAAGACAAUGACUUCUGAAUAUUGUUAAAAAGCAAAAGUUCAUCUAUUAUAGCCACAUUUGUAGAAACAAAGAUCUGGAAAGCAUUACCGUGGAAGGAAGACGAGGAGUGGGUUGCAGAUGAAGGAGCAGGCAAAGUAUACAAUGGAUGGACAAUAUCAAGAGCUGUUUGAACAAGAGUGGCAAAACAGCUGGAGAACUUAUUCUUUAUCGAGGAGGCUUCUGUUGUCAUGUCAUCAAUGCACUGAAGGUUUAUAAUGAUGAUGAAGAAAGUAGAAUCAUGCACAAGAGAGGAUAUCUUUGUAUUCAAUAUGCUACAAAUUGAAGACAGCAAGCUGGCAGAAACAUUAGCAUGCUCAAGGCGGCGCACCGGCAGAAUCGUUAACAUGCUGGAGGAAAUGCUUAACGGUAUUUCGUCUGCCGUUACGUUCUGAGUUCAAAUUUCGCCAAGGUCGGCUUUGCCUUUCAUCCUUUCGGGGUCAAUAAAUUAAGUACCAGUUACGCACUGGGGUCGAUAUAAUCGACUUUAUGCAUUUGUCUGUCCUUGUUUGUCCUCUCUAUGUUUAGCCCUUGUGGGUAGUAAAGAAAUAGGUAUUUCGUCUGCCUUUACGUUCUGAGUUCAAAUUCCGCCAAGGUCAACUUUGCCUUUCAUCCUUUUGGGGUCAAUAAAUUAAGUACCAGUUAUGCACUGGGGUCGAUGUAAUCGACUUUAUGCCUUUGUCUGUCUUUGUUUGUCCCCUCUAUGUUUAGCCCCUUGUGGGUAGUAAAGAAAUAGGUAUUUCGUCUGCCUUUACGUUCUGAGUUCAAAUUCCGCCAAGGUCAACUUUGCCUUUCAUCCUUUUGGGGUCAAUAAAUUAAGUACCAGUUAUGCACUGGGGUCGAUGUAAUCGACUUUAUGCCUUUGUCUGUCUUUGUUUGUCCCCUCUAUGUUUAGCCCCUUGUGGGCAAUAAAGAAAUAAGAAACGUUAGCAUGCUGGGUGAAAUACUUAGCAGUAUUUCAUGUCUUUACACUCUUAGUUCAAAUUCCACCAAGGUUGACUUUGUUUUUCAUCCUUUCGGGGGUCAAUAAAUUAAGGAGUGGCUGUGUGGUAAAUUGUUUGCUUACCAACAACAUGGUUCUGGGUUCAGUCCCACUGCAUGACACCUUGGGUAACUUAAUAUAGUAUAUAUAUAUAUAUAUAUAUUAUUACGAAUCUCUUACAAGGAUUAUUAACCAUGCAACUAUAGAAUAUGAAAGACUAUAAAGAGACAGGAUGGUCAGAGUUGGAAGACAAUUCUAUCAUUGGUUUGCUUGCUUGGAGGUAAACUUUGAGGGUAGGAGGAGUUGCUAAACAACAGCUACACCUUGUCUUAUUUCUGCUUUUGUUUGACGAAAAGCGAAUACGAAACAAACACGAGAAAGCAAAUUAUAGAAGAGGCAUGGGUGUGAAAGGAGUGGGUGGAGGUGCGGAGAAGAGUUUGAUGGGGGAUGAAUCAUGUGGAUGAUGUUGAUGAUGAUGAUGGUGAUGAUGAUGGUGGUGGUGGUGGUGGUGGUGGUGAGGAUGAUGAUGAUGAUGAUGAUGAUGAUGAGGAGGAGGAGGAGGAGGAGGGUGAUGAUAACGAGGAUAAGGAUGAUGAAGGUACUUAUCUUUCUGAUGAUGGAGGAGGAGGAGGAGAUGAAGGAGAUGAUGAAAGAAGAAGAAGAAGAAGAAGGGAGGAGAAAAAGAACAGAAGGUGGAGGAUGAGGAGGGGGAGGAGAUACUUUUGUUGCUGCUGCUGUUGCUCUUGAUGAUGAUGAUGAUGAUGAUGAUGAUGAUGAUGACGACGACGACGACGAUGAUGAUGAUGAUGAUGAUGAUGACGACGAUGAUGACGAUGAUGAUGAUUAUGUCAAUGAUGAUGGUGGUGAUGAUGACAGUGAUAAUGAAGAGGAAAAGUUUCAGCAAAAAAUAAAUAAAUGAUAAUAACAAUAACAACAACAACAACAACAACAACAACUGACUUCAUUUCAGUGCAAGACAUUCUUCAUACACCAGUGUUCUUUCAUAACAUGGUAGAUAUUUUAUAAGUGGACAAAAAAAAAAAAAAGAACAUUGGUGUGGGGGGCUGGGGAAAAUAAAAAGAAAAAGCAAAAAGGUAAUAUAGUCAGGAAAAGAAUUGUAAAUAUGUAAUUUUGCUCUCAGGUGCAAUCAUAGCAAUGCCUGUCUUUCUUCACCGCUGCUGAACAUUAUGUGAAGAGCCAUUCCUGCUGCCAACUUGCCACAUUAAUGUCACAAUAUCUCUAACCAAGCAAAAUAACUAAUUCCUGCAAAUCAGCAUGUUGAAGAAGAAGAACAAAAUAGAUGAAAAAAAUCAAAAUUAAACAAAAAAAAUUUUUUUUUUUUAGAAAUGAGAGGCCUUUUUUUUUUUUUACUUUUUUAUAUAUUUUUAAUAAGCAGACUAAAAUGACAUUUUAUAUUUUUAAUUAGCGGACUGCAAAGAAUAGCAGUAUUUGUAAUAGAUAGAACAUAUAUGAUUAAAAAGAGAGAGGUGGAGAAAGAAAGAACGAAAGAAAGAAAGAACGAAAGAACGAAACAGAGAGAGAGUAAGAGGGAUAGAUAAAUAGAUAAAUGGAUAAAUAAAUAAAUAAAUAAAUAAAUAAGGAAAGUGGAAUAUCCAAUCAAAUCAGUCUUUUAUUUCUUUAAUAAAAAUGAUAUAAAUUUUUUUUUUUUGAAAUAUUUAAAGGGAAAAAAAUAAGGAAAUAAAUUCAAUGAAAAUUAGAGAUAGAAUUAGGAAAAAAAACAAAAAGUCGUAAAAAAAAAUGAAAGAAUUAAAAUGGUUGCUGUCAGAGAAUGGAAUCAUUUUGAGUCAUGUUGCACAAUAGAAUGUGCUGUGCUUGUCAAAUAGUGGCUUAAAUUCUGUUGAUGUUGUCCUUUAUCAUGAUAAAAAUGUUAGGAAACUCAAAAACCUUUUGUAGCACCAUAAUUACUUUCAUAUCAAAGAAAAAAAUCCUCUGUUAUAUGUAGGCAUGUGCUUAUGAAUUUAUGUAUGUAAAUAUGUAUAUAUACAAAAACAUAUGUAUAUGUGUGUGUGUGUGUGUGUGUAUGUGUCAUACGGACGCUAAACGAUGAUGAUGAUGAUGAUGAUGUAUGUAUGUACAUAUAUAUAUAUAUAUAUAUGUAUGUAUAUAUGCAUGUGUAUAUAAAUAUAUAUGUAUAUAUCAUUACACUUAUACACAUAUAUUUUGAUUAAAAAACUUUUAUAUUUUAAUUAAAUAUAUAAUUGAAAUAUAUAAAGGACUCUCUCAAAAUCAACGACAUUCGUAAAAAAGAAAAAAAAAAUGGGUAUAUUUUCCUUUUAUUAUCAAAUAAUGAAUUUUAUUUUCAGAUUCCUUUAGUUUCUUCUGAUAUUAUCCUCCAUAUCAUUUCUAAGUCUGUUUUCCAUUCUUGCAUGGAUUAGAUAAGUUUUCUCCAGCACAUUAUCAUACUUUUCAUCAGAGUGGCUGUGUGGUAAGUAGCUUGCUUACCAACCACACGGUUCCAGGUUCAGUCCCACUGCGUGGCACCUUGGGCAAGUGUCUUCUUCUAUAGCCUCAGGCCGACCAAUGCCUUGUGAGUGGAUUUGGUAGACGGAAACUGAAAAGAAGCCCAUCGUAUAUAUGUAUACAUAUGUUUGUGUGUCUGUGUUUGUCCCCCCAGCAUUGCUUGACAACUGAUGCUGGUGUGUUUAUGUCCCCAUCACUUAGUGGUUCGGCAAAAGAGACCGAUAGAAUAAGUACUGGGCUUACAAAGAAUAAGUCCUGGGGUCGAUGUGUUCGACUAAAGGUGGUGCUCCAGCAUGGCCACAGUCAAAUGACUGAAACAAGUAAAAGAGUAAAAAAAAGAGAGUCAUUUAUUCCCUCUUUUGAGGUUCAGGCCCCUGAGAUCAAUUUUCACCUCUUCUUCCUUUCCCUUUUUGCUCUUUUUUUCCCACAGGCUCCUUCUGCUUAGAUCAUUUGGCACUUCUACACUUAAACUAUUAUCUCUCAUUUGUAUAAUACAUUUGCAACAUCCUCAUAGCCUUCUUUCUUGCAUACUACAAACGAUUCCCUCAUAUGUCCAACUGCACUUGGCCCAUUUGUGCCUUGAUGUUCAUGUACACCUGUGGUUCCCAAAGGGAGCUGUGCUGCCUACCUGAAGGUAAUCGAAAGUUCCAGGGUGGUGUUGAAGAAAAAUGGAGUGUUAAUGGAGUGGCCAAAAGGUGGGUAAUGGAUACUCUUUACUCUUUUACUCUUUUACUUGUUUCAGUCAUUUGACUGUGGCCAUGCUGGAGCACCACUUUUAGUCGAGCAAAUCGACCCAAGGACUUAUUCUUUGUAAGCCUAGUACUUAUUCUAUCGGACUCUUUUGCCAAACUGCUAAGUUACGGGGACAUAAACACAUCAGCAUCAGUUGUGAAGUGAUGUUGGGGGGACAAACACAAACACACAUACACACAUAUAUAUAUACAUAUACAUAUAUUCUUUUAGUUUCUGUCUACCAAAAAACAAAAAAAUAAUGGGUUGAUUAGGUUAAUUUUUAUUUAUGAAAUGCAAUUGUUUUGAAAUUGUUGUAGAAAAUGGUCUACAUUUGUGGUGGUGAGUGAGGUGGAGGUGCUAGGAAUGUGGCCUGAUUACCAAAGGGGCAGCUACCUGAAAAAGUUUGGGAACCACUGAUGUACACUAACAUUACGCAUUCAUGCUCACCUCAUUCUUGACUAGGUUUUGCACAUCUUUAACAUUUAAUGCCCUUGUUUUGUUACCAUGCAGUAUUGCACUUUGUAUGCAAGCAACAGAAUGACACAUGCAUGGCUGUGCCAUUAAGGAGUACUAAUACAUGGUGAUAUUUCAGUCUUUACAAUGGAUUUCAGUGAUUGUUAGGUCUGUACUAUGUUUGAUAACAGCUGUUCAAAUAAGGAUAAUAAUAAUAAUAAUAAUAAUGAUAAUAAUAAUAAUUAUUAUUAUUAUUAUAAUAAUUAUAAUAAUAAUUAUUAUUAUUAUUAUAAUAAUAAUAAUAAUAAUAAUAAGGCCUUAUACAGCUGGAAAACUACUAUAAAAUAACCACCAUAGGACUGCAAAAAUAUCUACUUCAGAAGGAAGGAAAACUGAUCCAGAUAGCGGCAAAACACGAGCAAAACAAAAAACUGUUUUCAGUAUUUAAGGAAGCUGACAAAUACAAACAAGAAAUCAUACCACCUAAUAAACAUGAAGAAGAAGAAGAAGAAGAUGAAGAAACAACAAAAGCUAUAAAACAAAUGAAAUCCAAACUAAAAAUAGAACAGCAACGAACCAUGAUAAAACGAUGGCAAGAAAAGCCCCUUCAUGGUAAAUACUGGACUAAACUAAACGCAAAAGAAAUAGACAAAGAAAAAUCCCAGCAAUGGUUGAGAAGCUCAGGACUCAAAGCAGAAACAGAGGGAUUUUUAAUUGCAGCACAAGACCAAAGCCUCCCCACCAGAAAUUACCAAAAACAUGUAAUGAAAAGAAAUAUUACAAGUAACUGCAGAAUAUGUGGAGAUGGACAAGAAACAAUAAAUCAUAUUAUCUCUAGCUGCCCAGUCUUGGCUAAGAAGGAAUAUGUUCACAGACAUGACAGAGUUGGAACCUACAUACAUUGGAAGCUAUGCCAACAUUAUGGAAUAACAACAGAAAAAAGAUGGUAUAGGCACACACCAGAAAAGGUCACAGAAAACGAGAAAGCAACCAUACUCUGGGAUAUGCCGAUA